UCUGGGUGCGGUGGCGCACAUCUGUAAUCCUAGCAGCUAGGGAGACUGAGGCAGGAGGAUUGCGAGUUCAAAGCCAGCCUCAG
rnacentral:sRNA from 1 species